UCUUCCGCAAUGGACGAAAGUCUGACGGAGCAACGCCGCGUGAGUGAAGAAGGCCUUCGGGUNGUAAAACUCUGUUGCCGGGGAANNCANNNUNCCGUUCGAACAGGGCGGCGCCUUGACGGUACCCGGCNNNANCNCCACGGCUAACUACGUGCCAGCAGCCGCGGUAAUACGUAGGUGGCAAGCGUUGUCCGGAAUUAUUGGGCGUAAAGCGCGCGCAGGCGGCUUCUUAAGUCUGAUGUGAAAUCUUGCGGCUCAACCGCAAGCGGUCAUUGGAAACUGGGAGGCUUGAGUGCAGAAGAGGAGAGUGGAAUUCCACGUGUAGCGGUGAAAUGCGUAGAGAUGUGGAGGAACACCAGUGGCGAAGGCGGCUCUCUGGUCUGUAACUGACGCUGAGGCGCGAAAGCGUGGGGAGCAAACAGG
rnacentral:rRNA from 1 species